rnacentral:rRNA from 1 species
UACGUAGGGCGCAAGCGUUGUCCGGAUUUAUUGGGCGUAAAGAGCUCGUAGGCGGUUUGUCGCGUCUUCCGUGAAAUCUCCGGGCUUAACUCGGAGCCUGCAGGCGAAACUGUGGUGCUGGAGUGUGGGAGAGGUGCGUGGAAUUCCCGGUGUAGCGGUGAAAUGCGUAGAGAUCGGGAGGAACAUCUGUGGCGAAGGCGGGCCAUCUGGACCAGCACUGACACUGAGGCACGAAAGCGUGGGGAGCAAACAGGA